AUGGCUACAAAGAAGAACAAAUGGAAGCGCACACUGGAAGUGGGAAGCACUUGCAAUAUUUGCGGGAACGGCGAGGAAGAUGAAUUUCAUGCUGUAAUUUCGUGCACAAAGAGCAGGGCACUAAGACAUGAAAUGAGAGCAGCUUGGGAGCUACCUAGCGAGGAAAAACUCAGAUACUCAGGUGAUGAUUGGCUGCAGAUCCUCCUUAACCCAUGCAAACCAGAGAUUAGAACGAAAAUUUUACUGCUGCUGUGGCGGUGUUGGUUCCUCCAAGACGAUUGCACCCAUAAUGCAGGGAAGGAGCUGGUUAGCCGAUCCGCUAUGUUCUUAAAACAGUACGUGGAAGAACUAACCUGCGGAGGCUCGGGGGAGGAAACUGAUAGUAAGGGGAAGCAGAAGGCGCUGCAGAGCGGGGGUGCUUUGGCGAAGGGGUUUUCUCUGUUCCCGCUGUCAACAGGGAUAGAUGGACAAGAGGUAGGAGCCACUGUGGAUCACACCAUCAGUCACUGGAGGCCCCCUAUGGCGGGAACAGUCACACUGAACACUGAUGCAGCGUUUUUAACUGGUAGCGGUGAUUCCCACUCGGGUGCAAUUGCGAGAGACCAUGAUGGUUCUGUCAUCUUCUCGCUGUCUGAACAUGGCUUACGCUGCAAGUCUGCGGAGGAAGCUGAAGCGCAGGCAUUGCUGACAGGGUUGCGACACUUGUCCGCCCUUUAUACUGGUCCGAUGAUCGCGGAAACAGACUGUAUGUACAUUGCGAAUGAGCUCAGGUCGGGCACCAGUAGUUUGUCUGCAUGCUAUCCAGUACUCGCUGAUAUCAAGGUGGAGCUGGCGAAGUUUGCUGCUGCUCAGGUCCAACAUGUCAGCAGAAAUCAAAACAAGAUGGCUCAUCUACUGGCGGCCCGGGCUAGGAAAAUGGAUGGAAUGUACUUGGUAGCGAGUGUUCCGGCUGAUCUGAGCGCUGCGCUAGUUGCCGACCUUGUGUUGGCUGAAGAGUAA
rnacentral:rRNA from 1 species